rnacentral:rRNA from 1 species
GAUGAACGCUGGCGGCGUGCCUAAUACAUGCAAGUCGAGCGAACGGACGAGAAGCUUGCUUUUCUGAUGUUAGCGGCGGAGGGGUGGGUAACACGUGGAUAACCUACCUAUAAGACUGGGAUAACUUCGGGAAACCGGAGCUAAUCCCGGAUAAUAUUUUGAACCGCAGGGUUCAAAAGAGAAAGACGGUCUUGGGGUAACGUAUAGAUGGAUCCGCGCUGCAUUAGCUAGUUGGGAAGGUAACGGCUUACGAAGGCAACUAUGCAUAGGCGACGUGAGGGAGUGAUAGGCCACAUUGGAACUGAGCCACGGUCAAUGCUACUGCGGUACGCACCAGUAGGCUAUCUUCCGCAGUGGGCGAAAGCCUGACGGAGCAACGCCGAGUCAGUGAUGACGGUCUUCCGAUCGUAAAACUCUGCUACUAGGGAAAAACAUAUGUGUAAGUAACUGUGCACAGCUUGACGGUACCUAAUCAGAAAGCAACGGCUAACUACGUG